UAGCAAUACAAGGCUGAGCUAGUGGCGAACGGGUGCGUAACACGUGAGCAAUCUGCCUUAAAGUGGGGGAUAGCUCGCCGAAAGGCGAAUUAAUACCGCAUGUGGUUGCAAAACCAAAGCCGGGGCAACCUGGCGCUUGUAGAGGAGCUCGCGGCCUAUCAGCUUGUUGGUGAGGUAACGGCUCACCAAGGCCUCGACGGGUAGCUGGUCUGAGAGGACGACCAGCCACACUGGAACUGAGACACGGUCCAGACACCUACGGGUGGCAGCAGUCGAGAAUUUUUCUCAAUGGGGGAAACCCUGAAGGAGCGACGCCACGUGGAGGAUGAAUGCUUUCGGGUUGUAAACUCCUGUCAUUUGGGAACAAAGCCUUACGUUAACUGCGUGGAGGUUUGAUAGUACCAGAAGAGGAAGAGACGGCUAACUCUGUGCCAGCAGCCGCGGUAAUACAGAGGUCUCAAGCGUUGUUCGGAUUCAUUGGGCGUAAAGGGCGCGUAGGCUGCGGGGUAAGUCGGGUGUGAAAUCUCAGAGCUCAACUCUGAAACUGCACUCGAUACUGCUCUGCUAGAGGACUGGAGAGGAGAUUGGAAUUCACGGUGUAGCA
rnacentral:rRNA from 1 species